rnacentral:rRNA from 1 species
ACGAACGCUGGCGGCGUGCCUAACACAUGCAAGUCGAGCGGACAGAUGGACGCUGCAUGCGAUACAAUAUAAGGUAGCGCCCUGAUGUUCGGCGGACGGGUGAGUAACACGUGGGUAACCUGCCUGUAAGACUGGGAUUCAACUCCGGGAAACCGGGGCUAACACCGGAUGGUUGUUUGAACCGCAUGGUUCAAACAUAAAAGGUGGCUUCGGCUACCACUUACAGAUGGACCCGCGGCGCAUUAGCUAGUUGGUGAGGUAACGGCUCACCAAGGCAACGAUGCGUAGCCGACCUGAGAGGGUGAUCGGCCACAGUGGGACUGAGACACGGCGCAGACUCCUACGGGAGGCAGCAGUAGGGAAUCUUCCGCGAUGGACGAAAGUCUGACGGAGCAACGCCGCGUGAGUGAUGAAGGUUUCGGAUCGUAAAGCUCUGUUGUUAGGGAAGAACAAGUACCGUUCGAAUAGGGCGGUACCUUGACGGUACCUAACCAGAAAGCCACGGCUAAAUACGUGCCAGCAGCCGCGGUAAUACGUAGGUGGCAAGCGUUGUCCGGAAUAUUGGGCGUAAAGGGCUCGCAGGCGGUUUCUGAAGUCUGAUGUGAAAGCCCCCGGCUCAACCGGGGAGGGUCAUUGGAAACUGGGGAAGUUGCGUGCAGAAGAGGAGAGUGGAAUUCCACGGGUAGCGGUGAAAUGCGUAGAGAUGUGGAGGAACACCAGUGGCGAAGGCGACUCUCUGGUCUGUAACUGACGCUGAGGAGCGAAAGCGUGGGGAGCGAACAGGAUUAGAUACCCUGGUAGUCCACGCCGUAAACGAUGAGUGCUAAGUGUUAGGGGGUUUCCGCCCCUUAGUGCUGCAGCUAACGCAUUGAGCACUCCGCCUGGGGAGUACGGUCGCAAGACUGAAACUCAAAGGAAUUGACGGGGGCCCGCACAAGCGGUGGAGCAUGUGGUUUUUCGGAGCAACGCGAAGAACGCCUUACCAGGUCUUGACAUCCUCUGACCAUCCUAGAGAUAGGACGUCCCCUUCGGGGGCAGAGUGACAGGUGGUGCAUGGUUGUCGUCAGCUCGUGUCGUGAGAUGUUGGGUUAAGUCCCGCAACGAGCGCAACCCUUGAUCUUAGUUGCCAGCAUUCAGUUGGGCACUCUAGGGUGACUGCCGGUGACAAACCGGAGGAAGGUGGGGAUGACGUCAAAUCAUCAUGCCCCUUAUGACCUGGGCUACACACGUGCUACAAUGGACAGAACAAAGGGCAGCGAAACCGCGAGGUUAAGCCAAUCCCACAAAUGUGUUCUCAGUUCGGAUCGCAGUCUGCAACUCGACUGCGUGAAGCUGGAAUCGCUAGUAAUCGCGGAUCAGCAUGCCGCGGUGAAUACGUUCCCGGGCCUUGUACACACC